rnacentral:rRNA from 1 species
UACGAAGGGGGCUAGCGUUGCUCGGAAUCACUGGGCGUAAAGGGUGCGUAGGCGGGUCUUUUAAGUCAGGGGUGAAAUCCUGGAGCUCAACUCCAGAACUGCCUUUGAUACUGAAGAUCUUGAGUUCGGGAGAAGUGAGUGGAACUGCGAGUGUAGAGGUGAAAUUCGUAGAUAUUCGCAAGAACACCAGUGGCGAAGGCGGCUCACUGGCCCGGUACUGACGCUGAGGUGCGAAAGCGUGGGGAGCAAACAGGG